CUGUGGCUUGGGAUUGCGUUCCUUUCUUCACGCAGAACAAGAAAGAGAGUCGUGGUGGUGAAGUGUUGAGAGGAGAGGCAGAGCCUCGCCAUCGCCAUCGCCAUCGCCAUCCCCAUCGCGAUUUCAUCUUCCCGUCGCAGCAAAUGCCGCCGCCGUGCCCGACCCUCUGCCGCCUCCCCGCGACUAACCUCGGCCUCCCUUGGUGCCCCCGGUCCAUACCUCUCCCUCGCCUCGCUCUCGCCGCGCGCCGCGCCAGGGCCGUCGCUGCCAGGGCCUCGUCAUCCUCUUCCUCGCCGGACUCCUCCUUCGGCUCGCGGAUGGAGGACUCUGUCAAGAAGACGCUCGCCGACAACGCCGUCGUCAUCUACUCCAAGUCGUGGUGCUCGUAUUCAAUGGAGGUCAAGGGUCUCUUCAAGCGGAUUGGCGUGGAUCCACAUGUCAUCGAGCUCGACCAGCUCGGUGCUCAGGGACCACAACUGCAAAAGGUGUUAGAGAGGUUGACUGGACAGUCCACCGUCCCUAAUGUUUUCAUUGGUGGAAAGCACAUUGGUGGCUGUACAGCACAUGUUGAGCGUUUUCUUAAGCAUAAAAUCAUCCAUGUCCAAUCUGAUUGGGAGGGGGGGGGGGGUUGGUGAAUACCACAACCUCAAUGCAUUCUUCAACAAGCUUGGGAUUCAUGUGCCUUGUCCUCAUACGCAUCAGCAAAAUGGCACUGUUGAACGUAAGCAUCGUCAUAUUGUUGAAACUGGCCUUGCUUUGCUUGCCCAUGCAUCGGUACCUUUUCGUUUUUGGAGUGAUGCUUUUUCCACCGCCUGUUUUCUUAUUAAUAGGCUUCCUACAUGAUUUCUUGGGAUGAAAACACCACUUGAACUCUUACUUAAUGAAACUCCAGAUUAUACGUUCCUCAAGGUUUUUGGGUGUGCAUGUUGGCCUCACCUUCGCCCUUAUAAUAAGCGUAAGCUUGAGUUUCGGUCCAAACAGUGUGUCUUUCUUGGGUAUAGUUCUCUUCACAAAGGUUACAAGUGCCUUCAUGUUUCGUCUAAUCAUGUCUACAUCUCUCGCGAUGUUGUGUUUGAUGAGAAUGUGUUCCCAUUUUCAUCGUUUUCGCCUGCUCACCCCACUCCACCACCUUUGCACUCUACCUCUCCGUCGCCUGGUCAGUUUGUUGAUAUUGCAUACUCUCCUGCGCUGCUUCCUAACCAUGCUACAGGUAUCGGUCGUGGAGCUCGUCUCGAAUUGCUGGAGAAUCAGGAACCUGCUGCUGCACCUGGCUAGGGUGAUGGGCACGUGCAUGCCCCAUGCACGCCUCGGCCGACCUCCCCUGCCAUGUCGCCCGGGCUGGCCUCCCCUGCUCCGUCGUCGGACCGGCCUCGCCUGUGCCAGUGUCCGGGAUGGCACGCCUGCCACGUCGCCUGGGCUGGCCACGACUGCCUCGUCGCCUGGUCCGGCCUCUCCUGCCCUGUCGCCUGACCCGGCCUCGCCUGCCUCGUCGCCUGGGCAGGCCUCCUCGGGUCCCUUCGACAGGACUACGACACCUGGCUCAUCAUCGCCGGUAGCCUUGCCGACCGCGUCUCCGGACGCAUCCUCCGCCUCGUUGUCACCAUCUCCGGUGCCACCGCCACCUCUGGUGCCACCAAUUGCUGCUGCUUAGUGGCCUCAUACCCGCAGCCGGUCCGGUAUCGUUUGUCCCAAAGAACGAACGGAUGGGACUGUUGCGUGGCUUGCAGCUUGUGUGGCGCACUUGCAGGAUGAUCCGGCUGCUGAACCACGACACUUUCAGGCGGCUCUUGGGAUUCCUCACUGGCGUAGUGCUAUGGAGCAGGAGUAUCAAGCACUACUCAAAAUGGUACUUGGCAGUUAGUUCCUCCGGUCUCUGGUGUCAAUAUCAUUGAUUCCAAGUGGGUCUUCAAGGUUAAAAGGCACGCUGAUGGUUAUUGAGCGCUAUAAAGCAUGGUUAGUGGCAAAAUGAUUCAAACAGAGGUAUGGUCUUGAUUAUGAGGACACUUUUAGCCCGGUUGUUAAGUCGACUACCAUCCGCCUGCUGUUGUCCUUGGCUGUUACUUGUGGCUGGUUUCUUCACCAACUGGAUGUGCAGAAUGCCUUUCUACAUGGUGUUUUGGAAGAGGAGGUUUAUAUGCGUCAGCCACCAGGAUUUGUUGAUCCUGCUCGCCCUCACCAUCUGUGCCGUCUGGUCAAGGUGCUAUAUGGGCUGAAGCAGGCUCCUCGUGCAUGGCAUGCUAGGCUUGGCUCCGCGCUUCGAGCUCUUGGUUUUGUUCCGUCGACUGCUGACACAUCACUGUUUCUUCUUCAGCGACCUGAGGUUACGAUGUAUCUGUUGGUCUAUGUUGAUGACAUUAUUCUCAUCAGCUCUUCCGAUGCUGCUGCUGAUCAUCUCCUGUCUGCUCUGACUGAUACAGUGAAACUUUAUCGCAAAGGGGAGCUAGCAACAAUGCUGACGGAACUGGACAUCAAAGUGAAUCAUCAUGACAAGAUUGAGCAUGACUAGAUUUCUGAAGUACCGGAGCAGUUUGGGUUUAUUGGUUUGAGACGUUACUAGCAAAUUAAUUUUUUGUCGCGUAUAUCUGUUGCUGAAACUGUGAAGGAAGAAAACCCUCUGAAUUCGACAAAAAAUCCGAGUUGGUGUAGUGUUAUCGUGAAUCUGAGUUCCUAUACUGUCGAAGUGUCAAUGCAUAUUCUGAUUUGAUUUCUACACUGAAAUGCAAUAACAUGACCGUGUGAAAAGCAGCACUUCCAUGGA